rnacentral:rRNA from 1 species
ACAGUCACACAUUAGAUACCCCGGUAGUCCCAGCCGUAAACAAUGUGCGUUAGGUGUGUCGGUAACCACGUGUUACUGAUGCGCCGAAGAGAAAUCGUGAAACGCACCACCUGGGAAGUACGGUCGCAAGGCUGAAACUUAAAGGAAUUGGCGGGGGAGCACCACAACAGGUGGAGCCUGCGGUUUAAUUGGAUUCAACGCCGGACAUCUCACCGGAUAAGACAGCUGAAUGAUUGUCAAUCUGAAGGUUUUACAUGACUAGCUG